UGUACUAACACAAUUGAAAAUAUGCUGAAAUGUUUGAAAAAGGUGCACUUUUGAUGAUCUGUUGUGAUAUAAGUACUAAGAGUUUUGGAAGUGUACCAAUUGCUUGUGAAAACUGCGCCAAACCAAUAGAAAAAAACUGUAAUCAUGGAUCAAUGACCUUCUUAAAGGGCAACUCCCACUGGGCUUUAAAUCCCUGGGACUCUCCACCAUUUGGAUUUAGAACUGAAGAAGCUUCUUGGAUGAGAUUUGACACGUCUUCAGAUAAUAUAAUGAAGUCCAGCUGCCGUCCUUUCAAGCUCCUAAGACUACCAUGACCUGGAUGACUGAGAACUUACAAACCUACAUCCAAGACAAGAUCUCCAAUGAAAGCAGAGCAGCAGAAAGACGUGCUGAGUGUAAAGCUGUCAGCAGGGGGAAUAACACAGGGCUGUGAAUGAGUCCUGUCACUGUGAUCAGGCUCCUCCUUCUAAUCCACCAACUUAGUGUUGAUGAAGACUAAACAGAGAGAUCACAGCUUCUUUAUACUUGCUGUAGCUCACAGUUACUCUACACUGCAGAUAUGACGCCUCUGUUCAUCUCAGUGCUGCUGGCUGCUAUGUGCCUCGAAUGCAGAGCACAAAAAGACAACGUGCUGCAAGCAAAAGGAGAAGAGACUGCUGCUGCAGGAGGCACAGUAACACUUGGCUGUCUCUAUAACAGCAGCAUCUCAUCAGGUAAUUAUCUCUUCUGGUACAAACAGGAUGGAAACAACAGCCCCAAAUUCAUCCUGAGUCGUGUUAGUGGGGACCAAGGAAGCACAGCAGACGAGUUCAAGGAGAGAUUUUCAUCCACACUGGAUUCCAGCAUCAGAUCAGUUCCUCUGAAGAUCCAGAAGCUUCAGCUGUCUGACUCUGCUGUGUACUACUGUGCUCUGCAGCCCACAGUGACAGGAAACACCAAAACUCUGUACAAAAACCUUUGGAGCAAAGACAACAGAAUACUCCACAACAUCCACUAGAGGGAGCCACACACUGUUAAACCUCUGAUUCUUGAGUCAUUGGACUGAUGACAAAGACAACAGAGAAAUGAAGCAGUAAAGAUCAGAGACAGAGACAGAGCUGCUGUGGAAGCACAAAGGAAACUUUAUUUAUAAAGAUCUUUCACAUCGACACGUCAAACAGUUCGUACAGUUUGUUAGUGUCAGCUCUAAAGACUGAAACGUUUAAAAAGAUGAGAACACAAAACAAAGCAUGCUUGAAACACACACUUCAACAUCUGAGUUCAAUCCAAAAAUCACUGAGGUAGAGGACACAAA